GAAUAGCUACGAUAACAAUUAUAUCUGUUGGUGGCGCUGUUCUUACUUCAAUUGUUUUAUUCAAGAUAAUUAAAAAAGUCUCAUACUUACGAAUGUUGAAAACAGUUGCUAUACAGGAUGUUGAGACUGUUGUUAAUAAUGCAGAAGAAGACAAGGAGGCCACACAAGGCAUUGAUGAUGAAGGAUUUGUGUCAGAAGUAUCUCAACAAUGACAAAAAAAAGCUCCAAUUCAAAGUACUAUGUAAAAUAAUUCAUCAAUUGCUGAUAAUCUUUACUGUUAUAAGUAGUAUAUAUUUCAAAGCCACAAUGACAGAAAAUCACAAACCAUCAAAGUCUUGUAUACUAUUUUCGUAAUAUACAAAAAUGUCUUUUGAAUAAAGCAAAUCAACUUUAUUACUUUA